CCUACGGGAGGCAGCAGUGAGGAAUAUUGGUCAAUGGACGCAAGUCUGAACCAGCCAUGCCGCGUGCAGGAAGACGGCUCUAUGAGUUGUAAACUGCUUUUGUACGAGGGUAAACGCAGAUACGCGUAUCUGUCUGAAAGUAUCGUACGAAUAAGGAUCGGCUAACUCCGUGCCAGCAGCCGCGGUAAUACGGAGGAUUCAAGCGUUAUCCGGAUUUAUUGGGUUUAAAGGGUGCGUAGGCGGUCGGAUAAGUUAGAGGUGAAAUCCCGAGGCUCAACUUCGGAAUUGCCUCUGAUACUGGUCGGCGAGAGAGUAGUAGAGGUAGGCGGAAUGUAUGGUGUAGCGGUGAAAUGCUUAGAGAUCAUACAGAACACCGAUUGCGAAGGCAGCUUACCAAGCUACUUCUGACGUUGAGGCACGAAAGCGUGGGGAGCAAACAGGAUUAGAUACCCGAGUAGUC
rnacentral:rRNA from 1 species